AAGCAGAAGCCUGGCGGGAAGGGAACGGAGGGCGGGUGGAGGAGGGUUACCCGCGAGAACAGAGAAGGGUAAAGCCAGCCACCCCGAAAAACAGGACCAGGAGAAGACGUCGUUUUUCCCUGCAUUCUUCACUGUGUAGCCUGUCAUGGCGAUCAGCAGCAGCAGGCCUGGGCCCCGCCCACCCGCCAGAGGAAGAAGAUGGCACUCGUGGUCCGGCCCCGCGAGUCGCCCUCCUGGCACAGAAUCCGCAGCCCCAUCACCAAGCCCACGAUGCUGCAGCCCGCCGCCAGCACCAUGCACGCCCCGGUCACCGCCAGCAUGGCUGGGGAGAGCGGGCCGCAUCAACCCCGCUGGCGCCGCUCCUGGCCACCACCCCCAUCCGCCGGCUCCGAGCUGGGAGCAGAGUCAGGGUUUUGGAUGGGGAC